rnacentral:lncRNA from 1 species
CGGCGUUUGGAGCCCUGCUGGAAGGAGUCGAAACACACUGCACAACAAUGACGGGUAAAUGUAAAGAGCUGGAAUGGAUAGAGCGGCAAACAAUUGUCCACAGUUGUGCUGCCCGUACCAUUGACGGGUUGUGGGAUGCAGUAUUAAGGAAGUAUAGACAAAACGUACAAGUUGGGCGGGAUGGAUGUGAGAGAGAAGAUAAUGUGAAGAAGAAGCGGUUUGCUAUGGACAUCAAUCCAAUCACACACAAGUAUGGAGGGAGGGUUGAGGGGGCCUUGGGGGCGGGGAUAAUCUUCAAUGGAGGAGGUGCCCAU